GUACACGCUGUGACUAGCAUAUCAAUAAGCGGAGGAAAAGAAACUAACAAGGAUUCCCCUAGUAACGGCGAGUGAAGCAGGGAAGAGCUCAAAUUUGAAAUCUUAAAGGGUUUCCCUUUACGAAUUGUAGUUUAAAGAAGUGUUUUCUGUUGAGGUUUUGGUAAAAGUUCUUUGGAAUAGGACAUCAUAGAGGGUGAGAAUCCCGUAUUUGACCUUUACUUUCAACUUUGUGAUACACUUUCAAAGAGUCGGAUUGUUUGGGAAUGCAGUCCAAAAUGGGUGGUAAAUUUCAUCUAAAGCUAAAUAUUGGCGAGAGACCGAUAGCGAACAAGUACCGUGAGGGAAAGAUGAAAAGAACUUUGAAAAGAGAGUUAAACAGUACGUGAAAUUGUCAAAAGGGAAGCGUUUGACACCAGUGUUGUUUUUCUGAAAAUCAAUUAAAGAACUGUUUAUGCUAAGUUGUUUAGACUUUAUCAGCUAACUGUUUAGUUUUGAGCUUUUCUUUAAUGCACUUUUCAGUUAACAAGUCAACAUCAAUUUCUUUUGCUGUAAAAAGGCUUGAGGAAGGUGGCUUGAGAUUCGUCUUAAGUGUUUAUAGCCUCUUGCCUAUGCAGUCGGAGAGAUUGAGGUCUGCAGCGUAGAUCCUUCGGGGCUAAAUGCAUCUGUGCUAAGUUAUAGCAUUUUCAUAGACAACUUGUUGACUAUGAUUUGUCUUGUAGCUUACUCGCUUAUGUUAUUUUACCUACGCUUAGGAUGUUGACAGCAGUAUAGACUGU
rnacentral:rRNA from 1 species